AAUNUUGGACAAUGGGCGCAAGCCUGAUCCANCCAUGCCGCGUGAGUGAUGAAGGCCUUAGGGUUGUAAAGCUCUUUCACCGAUGAAGAUAAUGACGGUAGUCGGAGAAGAAGCCCCGGCUAACGUCGUGCCAGCAGCCGCGGUAAUACGAAGGGGGCUAGCGUUGUUCGGAAUUACUGGGCGUAAAGCGCACGUAGGCGGAUAUUUAAGUCAGGGGUGAAAUCCCAGAGCUCAACUCUGGAACUGCCUUUGAUACUGGGUAUCUUGAGUAUGGAAGAGGUAAGUGGAAUUGCGAGUGUAGAGGUGAAAUUCGUAGAUAUUCGCAGGAACACCAGUGGCGAAGGCGGCUUACUGGUCCAUUACUGACGCUGAGGUGCGAAAGCGUGGGGAGCAAACAG
rnacentral:rRNA from 1 species